rnacentral:misc_RNA from 1 species
CCCAGCGCUGUGGCGCAGGCGGCUGCAAAGACGCCAAGCGCGAUCGUGAUCCGCGUCGGCAGUGCGGUUGCCGAGAUCAGGACCGGCGCAAGAAAAAGAAAUGAAAAGGGAUUUUGCAGGCCGCCCGUCAGGAACAGNNCAGCGAGCUCGGCGAUGUUGAUCGCGAGGAGGGCGGCGGCAUAACGGGGCGCCAGGCGGUGGACCGGGUUAAACCGGAUCUGCAGCGCCAGAUUGAGAAGCGACGACAGUCCGAUGAUGACCACGCAGGGGAUCACCGGGACCUCGAAAUCAAG